GCCUGGGUGGCUCAGCGGUUAAGCGUCUGCCUUCGGCUCAGGGCGUGAUCCCGGCGUUAUGGGAUCGAGCCCCAUAUCAGGCU
rnacentral:tRNA from 1 species